AUGCAAGUCGAGCGAACUGAUUAGAAGCUUGCUUCUAUGACGUUAGCGGCGGACGGGUGAGUAACACGUGGGCAACCUGCCUGUAAGACUGGGAUAACUUCGGGAAACCGAAGCUAAUACCGGAUAGGAUCUUCUCCUUCAUGGGAGAUGAUUGAAAGAUGGUUUCGGCUAUCACUUACAGAUGGGCCCGCGGUGCAUUAGCUAGUUGGUGAGGUAACGGCUCACCAAGGCCACGAUGCAUAGCCGACCUGAGAGGGUGAUCGGCCACACUGGGACUGAGACACGGCCCAGACUCCUACGGGAGGCAGCAGUAGGGAAUCUUCCGCAAUGGACGAAAGUCUGACGGAGCAACGCCGCGUGAGUGAUGAAGGCUUUCGGGUCGUAAAACUCUGUUGUUAGGGAAGAACAAGUACAAGAGUAACUGCUUGUACCUUGACGGUACCUAACCAGAAAGCCACGGCUAACUACGUGCCAGCAGCCGCGGUAAUACGUAGGUGGCAAGCGUUAUCCGGAAUUAUUGGGCGUAAAGCGCGCGCAGGCGGUUUCUUAAGUCUGAUGUGAAAGCCCACGGCUCAACCGUGGAGGGUCAUUGGAAACUGGGGAACUUGAGUGCAGAAGAGAAAAGCGGAAUUCCACGUGUAGCGGUGAAAUGCGUAGAGAUGUGGAGGAACACCAGUGGCGAAGGCGGCUUUUUGGUCUG
rnacentral:rRNA from 1 species